AGUGAUUGCCGAGAGAUGGCUAACAUUAGCAUCCCCACGACAAGCAACACACUCAACUUCAUAAAAGCCGGCGAUUUACACGCAAACCCUCCACAAUUCCAGACGACCCUUAUCGAAUCGCAAUCUCGCCUUCUAUUUUUCUGUAUGAUCCGGUCCUCCCGAUGCAGCUCCACUUGGUAGAUCCCGCAAGGGUCGCCGACCCUUGUCGAGGUUUGGCCGAUG